rnacentral:rRNA from 1 species
CCUACGGGGGGCUGCAGUGGGGAAUUUUGGACAAUGGGGGCAACCCUGAUCCAGCCAUGCCGCGUGCGGGAAGAAGGCCUUCGGGUUGUAAACCGCUUUUGUCAGGAGAGAAAUCUCUUGGGCUAAUACCCUGAGAGGAUGACGGUACCUGAAGAAUAAGCACCGGCUAACUACGUGCCAGCAGCCGCGGUAAUACGUAGGGUGCAAGCGUUAAUCGGAAUGAGCGGGGGUAAAGGGGCAGCAGGGGGGUGAAAUCCCCGGGCUUAACCUGGGAACUGCACUGGUGACUGCACGGCUAGAGUACGGCAGAGGGAGAUGGAAUUCCGCGUGUAGCAGUGAAAUGCGUAGAUAUGCGGAGGAACACCGAUGGCGAAGGCAGUCCCCUGGGCCUGUACUGACGCUCAUGCACGAAAGCGUGGGGAGCAAACAGGAUUAGAUACCCGGGUAGUC